GGGAUAGUAAAGGUUUCGACAGGGGUCUUGCAGCUGGAGAAGCUAUCCGCAGGCGAUGCGUCAAAUCGCAAAAAUAAAUAUAAACGCUGAAGAUAAUUUAGCAUUCGCUGCCUAAGGGCAGCUGUCCGGCCUUAUGCACCUACACAUAGGGAACCGGGCAUCGACUAUGUAGGAAACGACACGGGCUAAGCUUUGCACCUGUGGGCGUAUUAUGAAGCUACUAAAUGGACCGGGGUGUCGGUUUCCUGGUUCAGGAGGGAAUGAGGGUUUCCCGAAAUAAUCGACUAUGAUAGUAGAAGGACAGGGAAUGGGUCUUUGGACGCGGGUUCGACUCCCGCCUAUUCCAUUU
rnacentral:tmRNA from 1 species